UACGUAGGGGGCAAGCGUUGUCCGGAAUCAUUGGGCGUAAAGAGCGUGUAGGCGGCUCGAUAAGUCUGCUGUGAAAGUCCAGGGCUCAACCCUGGAAGGCCGGUGGAAACUGUCGGGCUAGAGUCCGGAAGAGGCGAGUGGAAUUCCCGGUGUAGCGGUGAAAUGCGCAGAUAUCGGGAGGAACACCGAUGGCGAAGGCGUCAGCUGGCUG
rnacentral:rRNA from 1 species